GAUGAAGAACGCAGCGAAAUGCGAUACGUAAUGUGAAUUGCAGAAUUCAGUGAAUCAUCGAGUCUUUGAACGCAUAUUGCGCCCCCUGGUAUUCCGGGGGGCAUGCCUGUCCGAGCGUCAUUGCUGCCCUCAAGCACGGCUUGUGUGUUGGGCCUCCGUCCUCCUCCCGGGGGACGGGCCCGAAAGGCAGCGGCGGCACCGCGUCCGGUCCUCGAGCGUAUGGGGCUUCGUCACCCGCUCUUGUAGGCCCGGCCGGCGCUUGCCGACACAUCAAUCUUUUUUCCAGGUUGACCUCGGAUCAGGUAGGGAUACCCGCUGAACUUAAGCAUAUCAAUAAGCGGAGGA
rnacentral:misc_RNA from 1 species